GACUGUCAUUGUCUGAUUGUUUAAUCAAUCUCUCAUUCAUUGUCAGUCCCCCUCCUUUUUGACUCUUUGGCAUCAUUUAUCCCCCGUCUUGGUCUUGGUUUUGUAUUCCCAUUGUUUUGCUGCACAUUUUACAUUCAUACUGCAGCCUUCUUUUCAUCUAGUUGCUAUUCCCAUGCCUGGUUGUUUUCCCUCAAUCAAUAUGGCGUUAAACGCCUCGGCGUCAUGGCAGUCCGUCCCAUUACAGCGUGUGUUCACAUGCGCGGGACACCUCUGCAGCCAUUGGUUUGACGCACAACAAAUGGGAGGAGAUCUGGUGCCGUUGUCACAUGUCUGCAUCCCAGCGGCGUAUUUCAGACGCCGCCGGGAUGGUAUUUAAGAGCGCAGCGUUCAGCCGCAAUCCCUGGCAUAAUUUAUGGCAAACGGAGCCAUUUGCAGGCUCGGUCGCCCUAACGCUGUGGAGUUCUAAUGUUUGUUUGGGACUGCGCCCUAAUACAGAGAUCUGCACUGCCUGUGCAUAUGAGGCACCCAGUCAUCUUCUGAUGUGUGGCAUCUGGAGGAACUUGGGGUGCAUUACCACGGAAAUUAUUACAGGUGUCCCUGUUGGGCAAAUUUAUUGGUUCCAUAGUUCACUACUAAAGUGAGGUAUGUUUCGUUUAUAUUAAAAAUUAAUUAAAUCUAGUUCUGGGUUGUAAUCGCUUGAUAAUCAAGUGAAUUUGACCCAUUUGUAUUUAUAUAUAUAUUUUUUGAUAUAUCAGGCUCUCUUUAUACUAUGGCCUCAGAUUAACUAUCGAGACUUCUUGAUGCAUGGUUCCAGUAUCUUGACAACGUUAUGUGCAGUUACUUAUUCCUAUUAUGCCUUCAUUUUUGAAGUGAUCCGGUCCCAUGUGGUAAGCCUGCUUGCGCCAUUAUUCUGCACCUCAUUAUAUGUAAACUUAUAUUAACACAAUAUAUAUUUCUAUGAAUUAUUAUAUGUAUUUUUGUAUAUAUGUAUAUAUGCACCUAUUAUUACUAAUUCUUGUUUCCAUCCCUUGUAUCCCCCUGUUUCUUGAUAUUUUGUAGUAUUACCUGUUCAAGCUCCUGAAGAAGCUCAAUUUGGAGCGAAACAUGUAGAGCGAGCAAAUACUGCAACAGGUCUUCUUAUACUCAUGUUUUGAAGUUAACAACUCAAUACCCGUCGGAUGGUUUUUAUAGAUUUAUUGUUAUGAAAUAAAAUACAUUUUUCUAUAUUCUUA